AUUCUUGGUCAUUAGAGGAAGUAAAAGUCGUAACAAGGUUUCCGUAGGUGAACCUGCGGAAGGAUCAUUAUCGAAAUAAACAUGAACAGGCUGUUGCUGGUCCUCUCAGAGAAGACAUGUGCACGCUUGUCCUCUUUAUUUUUCCAACUGUGCACAUAUUGUAGACCUGGAUGUUGUUUUUGAGGACUGCCGUGCUUUGUUGAACGGCUUUGCCUUGUUUCCAGGUCUAUGUUACAUUUAACAACAUGUUUCAGAAUGUUGAGUACUGGGGAUAACAAAUAUACAACUUUCAGCAACGGAUCUCUUGGCUCUCGCAUCGAUGAAGAACGCAGCGAAAUGCGAUAAGUAAUGUGAAUUGCAGAAUUCAGUGAAUCAUCGAAUCUUUGAACGCAUCUUGCGCUCCUUGGUAUUCCGAGGAGCAUGCCUGUUUGAGUGUCAUUAACUUCUCAACCACAUCUGGGUGUGGCUUGGAUUUGGGGGUCUUUUUUCUGCAGGCUUUUAAAGAAAGUCUGCUCCCCUGAAAAGCAUUAGUGGUAUCUGAGCAGAUAAAACUACCUUGGGUGUGAUAACUAUCUAUGUCCUCGGUGUAUAUAAAUGCAUGCUGCUUCUGAACUUUUGCGUCUUGCGCAUUUGACAAACUUGACCUCAAAUCAGGUAGGAUUACCCGCUGAACUUAAGCAUAUCAAUAAGCGGAGGAAAAGAAACCAACCAAUC
rnacentral:rRNA from 1 species